GGGAAUGUGGCUUAGUGGUAGAGUGCUUGCCUUGCAUGCACGAAGCCUUAGGUUCGAUUUCCCAGUACCA
rfam:Dipodomys ordii contig_2308, whole genome shotgun sequence.